AUUGAACGCUGGCGGCAGGCCUAACACAUGCAAGUCGAACGAGUGGCGGACGGGUGAGUAGUGUCUGGGAAACUGCCCGAUGGAGGGGGAUAACUCCUGGAAACGGUAGCUAAUAACGCAUACCAUCGGAUGUUCCCAGAUGGGCUUAGCUAGUCGGUGGGGUAAUGGCUCACCUAGGCGACGAUCCCUAGCUGGUCUGAGAGGGUGACCAGCAACACUGGAACGGAACCACGGCCCAGACUCCUACGGGAGGCAGCAGUGGGGAAUAUUGCACAAUGGGCGAAAGCCUGACGGAGCAAUGCCGCGUGAAGGAAGAAGGCCUUCGGGUUGUAAAGUUCUUUCGGCAGGGAGGCGUUACCUGCAGAAGAAGCACCGGCUAACUACGUGCCAGCAGCCGCGGUAAUUC
rnacentral:rRNA from 1 species